GGGCCUGUGGUCUAGUGGCCUAUGACGUCACCCUUACAAGGUGAAGGUCGGCGGUUCAAAUCCGCCCAGGCCCA
rnacentral:tRNA from 2 species